rnacentral:sRNA from 1 species
AUGGCAUGCAAGCCUUUGGGUGAGGAAACUGCAGAGAAAACAACAGUGUCAAUACUUGAAAAACUUUCAAAGCAUUCAUGGCAUGUGAAGGCAUUGUUAACACUCGCGGCUUUUGCUGUGGACUAUGGGGAUUUUUGGUUCCUUGCUCGUCUUUUCCCAUCAGACAAAAGUGCUAAAUCAGUGGGUAUCCUGAAGGGGAUGCCUAAUGAUGAGUGUAAGCUCGUCAGUAAUGUUCGUCGGGUGGAGGUGAUCUUCUAACUUUCACCGAUGGUCACUGGUGUGGUGCUUGCCACAAUGUCUCCAAUGCCAAAGUCAGAAUAUGAAAUUCUCUUCAAAAUAAAGCAAUAUAAGAUGAAUAGAAAUCAAAGAAAAAAAUCUCCUUUCUUACUUGUAUCUCCCUCUCUCCUUCGUGGGAGUGUGUGUGAGCUUUAUAUAUGCUCUCAUGGCCUCUAGCCGUUGGAGGAGUUAUGGAGGUCUUAAUGCUUCUUUUGGUAACGUUUUGGGGCUGUGUAAUGAGACAUCAAUGUCUUCAAAUGGUUCAUACAGUUGGAGGUAUAACCAUUUAGUUGAUUGUAUUAAAUGGCCUGGAUUCCCUCGUCAGUAGUGUUGUUUUCCACGUCAUCUGUCCUGAGGGUAUACUCGUCCAUAUCGAAGGACUCGUCCACAUAGGAUAGACUUGCCAAUUUCGUCAGUACUUAUCAAUCUCAUCACCUAACAUCUACAAACCUCCUAGUUUCAGAAACACAGAGGAGAGAUUGCUGAACUUAACAAACUGAUCAAUGCCACAUUCAGGGGUGGAGCUNUUUUAAUAAUUAGCCCCCAAAAAUGGGGCCCCCCCCCCCCCCCCCAAACUAUUUGAGUUGGUCCAAUAACGUUCUUAAAAAAAUUGUCCAAUUUGUCUAGUAGUUAUAGACAACAUAUUGUUUCUCAAAUUCAUUUUUUAUGAUAAAAUAUGUUCUCAUAUUUUUUAAAGUUUUAGAUCAUUUAUGUCUUUAAACACUUCAUUAAUUCAAUUGAAAUUUUUUUUACUCACAACGGUAGACAAUUUGGUAAUUUAUAUUGAAAAUGAAAAUGGUAAGGAUUUCACUAUGGAAGAUGGUGAAAAAUUAAUUUAAUUCUAUGAAACAUUUAAUUUUAAGGAUUUAUUAUCAAAGAUAUUAAUUUUUUGUGUAUGUUUAUAGAUACAAGUGUUUGUGUAUAUGUAUAAAAGUUUGUAUAAAAAAAUAAAUUAACAACACAAAUCGACCCCCCCAAAGAAAAAUUUCGGGCUACGCCCCUGGCCACAUUGGAUGUUAUUGAGCACAUCUUAGAGUUGGAAGACCUAGCUGUUAAGCAUGCUGAAGAGGAUUUACCGGAAUUGUCAGAAGCCCUGCACUACAUCCCAUUAUAUGUUUACUAUGCUAUCGAAACUGUCGCAGCUUGCACAACUCAGAUGUGUUGCCUCUUUAACGAUGAGUAAGUCCUUUGGCGCUGGAAUUUUGUAUAUGUGUUGAAUUCAUUUGAGUAGAAUUUCACUACCAUAGCAUACUUAUAAUUUGGGUUUAACAUAAAGCGAGUGUUCAUUGACCUAUUUAAUGAUUCACUCUAAUGCAAAUAGCAUUGGUUUCUCAAUUUCAGGGGUCACGAGACACAGGAACUGUCUUCCUUUAGUUCAAAAAUCAAAAGCUCCCAUAUCAAAUUGAAAUUUGCUAUAGACCAAAGCAAAAACAUAUAGGUUAGCCACUCAGCUGAUUUCACUCAAAAGGAAGUAUUAUCGCUUCGAUAUGUUGUACAUGCAAUAGAAUGGCUUAGAAAAUGCACUGAGAUUUUGACCAAGGGGUCUUGUUAAUUAAAUUCAGCAGAAAAGGAAGCUUAUCAGAAGCUCGUGAAAAACUUAAAAAAUCCUAGGAAAAUCGCGGUGGUCUUCAAGGAGAUGCACACUACAACAAAAUGUAUUUUUAGCGACGAAAAUUAGUGAGGAAAUAUUUUUCGUCGCUAAAAAUACAGUUUUAGUGACGAAAUAUGAAUUUUGUCACUAAAGUGAAAAAAAUUAUUACAUUUAGCGACGAAAAAUAAAUUUCGUCGCUAUUGUGAACUAAAAAAUAGGCGCCAGUGGAGGGAAAUUUUGGCGCAAUUUUAAUUAAGCUAUAGUGACGAAAUAUUUCGUCACUAAAAGUUGAAAUUUUUAGUGACGAAAUAUUUCGUCACUGUAGGUAUUGCUGUGAUAGUAUUAGUGACGAAAAUCAUUUCGUCGCUAUAAGGAAGAAUUAGUGACGAAAACUAUUCGUCACUAAAAAUAACAAUGGUUUUGCACUUAAAUGUUUUUAGUGACGAAAUCAUAAUUCGUCACUAAAAGUAUGCUACAGUGACGAAAGUUGAAUUUCGUCGCUAAAAAUCUGAACAAAAUAUGGUCUCUUUAGUGUCGAAAAUAAAAUUUGUCGCUAAAAGUGUAAAAAUUCUAGGUUCUCUUGUGACGAAACAAAAAUUCAUCGCUAAAAGUGGGCAAUAGCGACGAAACUGAUAUUUCGUCGCUAUUUCCCAGUUCUAGUGACGAAUUUCAGUUUCGUCACUAAAAGUGAUCUUUAGCGACGAAAAGUUUUCGUCGCUAAAAAUCACUAUAAAUACUCCAACCCAAAAAUUAGCCUCACCCACUCAGCAGAACAAAAAACACUCACCCACUCAAAAAAAACACUAAAAUAUUUCGUCACUGUAGGUAUUGCUGUGAUAGUAUUAGUGACGAAAAUCAUUUCGUCGCUAUAAGGAAGAAUUAGUGACGAAAACUAUUCGUCACUAAAAAUAACAAUGGUUUUGCACUUAAAUGUUUUUAGUGACGAAAUCAUAAUUCGUCACUAAAAGUAUGCUACAGUGACGAAAGUUGAAUUUCGUCGCUAAAAAUCUGAACAAAAUAUGGUCUCUUUAGUGUCGAAAAUAAAAUUUGUCGCUAAAAGUGUAAAAAUUCUAGGUUCUCUUGUGACGAAACAAAAAUUCAUCGCUAAAAGUGGGCAAUAGCGACGAAACUGAUAUUUCGUCGCUAUUUCCCAGUUCUAGUGACGAAUUUCAGUUUCGUCACUAAAAGUGAUCUUUAGCGACGAAAAGUUUUCGUCGCUAAAAAUCACUAUAAAUACUCCAACCCAAAAAUUAGCCUCACCCACUCAGCAGAACAAAAAACACUCACCCACUCAAAAAAAACACUGAGAAACCCAAACCAAAAAAAAAAAAGAAACCCAGCCGAUAAAGAUGAAGACGAACCGUCGCCGAUGAAGAUGAACCAUCACCGAUAAAGCAGCCUACCGUCGCCGAUAAGCAGCCCACCGUCGCCGAUAAGCAGCCCACCGUCGCUAAAAAUCUUCAUCUGCGAUGCUUUAUACACCAUCGAGAAAGAUGAACCGUCGAGAAAGAUGAACCAUCGCUGAUAAGCAGCUACCGUCGCCGAUAAGCAGCUACCGUCGCCAAUAAGCCACUCCAAUCACCGGCGACGCUUUGUCUUCUUCGAAUGGCGACGCUUCGUCUUCUUCGAACAGCGACGCUUCAUCUUCUUCGAACCGCGACGCUUCGCCUUCCUCGAACCGCGACACUUUGUCUUCCUCGAACCGGCGACGCUUCGCCGUCCUUCGCAUCGGCAACGCUUUGAAAUGUCAUUUCAGCUCCCAUCGUCGCCGAUUCUCGACGAUUCCUAUUCAUUGCCAAUCUCGAUCCAUUCGUCGCCGAUUCUCGACGGUUUUGAAGUGUUAUUUCAGCCCAUUUGUCGCCGAUUCGGACCAUUCCCGACGAUCUUGAAUCAGUAAGGUUUUAUUUAUUUAUUUUUAUUUUUUGUUUAUUUUUUUUUUCUUUGAUUCCCUUUGGCUCAUGUUUUAUUUUUGUUGUGAUUGAGUUUUUUUUGUGUAAUUGUUUUAUUUUAGAUUUUGUCAACUCUUUCUUAACUUCCUGCUUGAAAGCAGCUGAGAUUUUAUGUAUUACAGCUUUUGAUUGAAAAAAUUAUGAGGAUCAUUAGCUUAGAAAGGGGAAAAAAAAAAUCUAGCUGACCCAAGUUUCGUUGGGGUUAACUGAUUAAGACUUACUUGAGCUGCAACUAUUUGGUCUUAGAUUGUUAUAUUAGUAAUGUGGUGGAGCUCAUCUUGUGAAUGGAAAUUUAUUUAGCAUUUCUCUGGUUGACUUAGUAAUUAGUAUCACCUAAAAUUUAGCAAAUACGACAAUUGUUAAGCUUUUUUCACCUUAUAUAUGCAUAUUGGGUAACAAACUAAUAAGAUACUAAAAGAAUAUGUAUUGCCUUAUAUUUCUGAUUUGGUGUGUGUGUGCGCAUCAAGAUGCAUCACACUUAGAUGUAAUGACUAAGGAGAGGGCUUUUUCUUUUUCUUCUUCUUUUUUGGUUCCAGGUUGUCCUGUUGGAAUCACGGGAUAGAAUUGGUGGUCGAGUUCACACUGAUUAUUCAUUUGGUUUUCCAGUUGACUUGGGUGCCUCAUGGUAAACUUACUAUUUUGCAAAAUCCAUUUUUUAGGUAAAUAUUCGGUGUUGCUUAUUUAUUAAUUAUAAAAACUUAUAUGUCAAUCAUGAUGGCUUAGGUUGCAUGGAGUAUGUAAAGAGAAUCCCUUGGCACCAUUGAUUGGGAGACUGGGACUGCCCUUAUACCGUACUAGCGGAGACAACUCUGUGUUGUAUGAUCAUGAUUUGGAAAGGUAA